UAUAUGUUGUGUUGAUGCUAUUAUUAUAUCACGAACACUCGUUUCGAAUUUAACAAAUCGAAUUAAGAUACGUUUACACUGAUAGGAGUUCGCAUAAACAUUAUAUUAUUUUAUAAUUAAUAAAAACAGCUUAUGACCGAGAUAGCUAUAGAAUGAAAUAUAAGAAUCAAGGUGGUCGAGUUAUCAAGGAAGUUCCGAACGCCUAUAACUAUUUGAUAUACGUAACCAUUUGACCGUGGCUACUAUUAUAAACCGUACAGGUGAUCUAUUUAUCAUGAAGAAACGAUUUCAUUUUUUGUUUUCAAUU